rnacentral:pre_miRNA from 1 species
UUACUACCUCCAUCCUAUUGUAAGUGUAACCAUGGUUUUCCGCGUCUAACUUUGAUCAUCCGUCUUAUUUGAAAUUUUUUUAAAAAAAUUAAAAGCAUAAGUCACGAGUAAAGUAGUAUUCAUGUUUUAUCAUCUCAUAACAACGAAAAUACUAAUUAUAAAAAAAUUUCAAAUAAGACGAACGAUCAAAGUUGGACGCAGAAACUUAUGGUUGCACUUAUAAUGAAACGGAGGGAGUAC